UGUGAGUCGGGGCGUCGUAGCGCAGCUGCAGCAGCACCCGGGCGCGUCCGGGGCUGUGGGAGCCGAAAGUUGGGGUCUUGCUCUGUCGCUCAGGCUGGAGUGCAGUGGCAUGAUCAUGGGUCACUGCAGCCUUGAACUCCUGGGCUUAAGGGAUCUUCUCAUCUCAGUCUCCUAAAUAGCUGGGACUACAGGCUCAGGCCACCAUGCCUGCAUGAGGCCCUCACCAGAUACAGCCACCUGAUCUUGGACUUCACAGCCUCCAGAAAUAGAUGCCUUCUGCCAUGAUUAUAAGUUUCCUGAGGCCUCCCCAGCCAUGCAGAACUUCCAGUGAUUCAAGUUUGACACACCACACCACGGUGGAUGUGCCUUGUCAUGACACAUCUCAGCAGCACUAGAAGAUACAUCCAAAGUCCUGUGAGCAAGGUCUGUGGUAUCUGUUUAUUAUGGCAGCCCAGUAAGACUAAGACAGGCCAUCACAAGACGUGAACGUUUUGGACCUUCUCUUGGGCCCUAGUAAACAGAAAUCAGAAGGAAGAAAACUUUGCUAAUGCUCUGCCAAGCCUCACUUUUCUCUCAUGAUUAGAAGGUUUGAUGUUAUCCAGAAUUACUCAUGGAAGAUGGAAGAGCUGCAGCAUUACAAUGAAAGCCAUCUUACAACAGCCUGAGCUAUUUAUUAAACUAAUCCACGUUCUGAACAGUUAUUGCUACUGGAAACCAGUCCCGAUCCAGACCACAAAAGACGAUUCUUGGAUCUUGCACAAGAAAGAAAGGCUGGAUCUACAUGCCUCCACUCUGGCUUUUAACAAGGCUCUGAACUAUUGUCAGAACUUGGGAAUUUCUAACAUUGAAGAGUAGAAUCACAUGGGGGCAAUUUAAAGAAUUUCAUCAAUACCUUCAAAUUAAAUAAACCAGCAUCUGGUUGAAAAAAAAAAAUCACUUACCUGGAAGGAGAAACCAAAGAAACAUCCUCAAAUUCUAAAGCUUCAUUCAAAAUUCAAG
rnacentral:lncRNA from 1 species